GAAGAAAAAAAAAACCCCACACACUAUGGUUAGUAUUGCUAUUACUUACUGCAAAUGGGAAACCACCUUUAAGGAUAACUAAAGAAAGGUAUGUAUGGCCUUGAAUGUCUUUUCAUUGGGAAGGGCACUGAACUUCUCAGAAAACUUGGUUUCCAAUCUUGGCUCUUUCACUUAGGGUCACAAAUUUUGGAGCUGAAAGGGACUUUGGAAUUCUAGUCCAACCUUUUCAUUUUACAAAUAAAGAAAGCGAAGCCCAGAGGGGUAGUAUAGCUGCCAGUAUCACACAGCUAGUAAGUGUCCAAGAUAGAAGGUGAAUCUAGGUCCUUUAAUUCCAAGUCCAGUGUGCUUUCUGCGGCUGGCUAUGUGACCUGGGGCUAGUCACUUAACCUCUGUUUCCUUAUCUUAAACUGGGGAUGCUGCUACUUCCACCCCUACCUUUGUGAGGGUCAUAUGAAAUCAGGUGUGUAGAAGUAAUUUGUAAACUAUAAAAUGCUAUUGAAAUGUGAAAAAUUAUGAGAAUUUAUGGUCUACCAUUUUCAACAACAUUCCAGUGUGGUAUAAUGGACAGAGGAUUGGUCUUAAUUCAGGAGGACUUGAGUUAAAGCCUCACCUCUGGUACAUACUGGAUAUGUGACCCUGGGCAAAUAGGAUUUAAUCUCUAAGUGCCCUGGACAACCCUCUAGAACUAUAAGGUACAGAGUAUGUGCCAGCCUUCAUUGGUAGAGCGUGUUUCCUCAUCUGGGAAUACUAAUGAAGUACAAAUACCAAUACUAAUGAAAUCACAGAUUUCUACAUUUGAUAUCAGUCGAAUACAAAGUGAAACCAAAGGGGCAUGGAGUCAUACAUCAAAUGAAUACACACACACACACACACACACACACACACACACACACACACACACACAGCAUUUCAAACCUUAAAGUGCUAAUGAAACAUGAGCUAUUGUUGUCAUUAUAGCUAAAGAGAACUUAGAGGUCAUUUGGUCAAAGUCCUUCAGUUUACAGAAGGGGAGACCAAGAUCUAGAGAGAGGGAAUGACUUUUCCAAGGUUAUUCAGGUAGUAAAGCUGGAGGUAGGUUUUACUCUAGGACUUCUGGUUCCAUCUUUCAUCAUCUUUCCAUGUACCAUGGUGUUAUAAAUUGAUGGAAGUAAAUAGAACAAUUUGGUUAUAGGAAUAGUAAAUAUGCAUGAAAGAACACAUUAAUGUUGUCUGUAGACCUUUUAAAAAGGAUAUCCUAAUUUUAAUUUCCCUUAACAUCAAGUCAAUAUCAUUUAUUUUUUAAAAUUUUUAUAAAAACCCAUCCAGGCACUGUAUUGCCUCAGAAUAAUUUCCAGUCUCUUUUUUACAAAGAGUAAAACCUUGAAACCUUGGGGUAAGGGUAGGACAGAUGGAUACCUCUCCUGUGUUCUUUCUCACUCUUUCACCCAUUUCUCCUAGGAAUCUUCAUUACCAGGAAGGGGAAGAAGACCUAUCAGAAGUCAAGAUGUAGAGUUCCAGCCAACCAGAUGUUGGAGAAACUGCUACCAUCUGCCUCUGGUCUACAGAAGUCUAUUCUUCCUCCUCUUCCUCUCUCAGGGUCUAGAAACAGCACAGAAUGAUGCUCUGAGGAUGAAGCAUUCUGGUUCAUAGGUAAAUCUUGAAGAAACUUCUGAGUGUACAUAUGUCACUUAAAUGGGAUGCAGUGAAAUAUGAGGUAACAGAAUAUUAGAGGGUAUAUUUCCCACCUCGUGGCAUUGUUCAUGCUGUCCCUUUUGCCUUGAAAGACCUUUUUGCUUCUAGCCAUUAGAAUCUAUCUCCUCCUUGUUGAAGGCCCACUUCCAAUGAUGCCUCUUCGUUGAACACUUUCCAGGUUCCCCAGUAGGAUGUGAUUUCUCACUCCUCUGACCUCCCACGGUAUUCAGUACCUCUCACGUCCCUUACCUCAUCUUGUCUGAAGGUAACCAUGCCUACAGAUACUCACAGAGAGAUGGGAAGGAGGUGAAGGAUACUUGGAAGAAGAGCAAAGCUGAUGGAGGGACAGAGGGAGAGACAUGAGGAAUGGAGAACAGCCCCAGUCAAAUGUGUAAAUGUUCUUGGAAGGAGCUGAGAUAUUUACCCUGCUGGUGAAAGUCAUUAUUCUGAGGGGAGAAGGGGGAAAGUCAUUCUUAUAACACAGGAGCAGAUAAAAUAAUAACUGACUAUACAGGGCUUUAAAGUUUGGAGAUCUCGUUAUGUGUUUCUCAUUUGAGUUAGGUUGUCUGUUUUACAUGUGAGGAAAUGGAACUUGUAAAGUAACUUGUCAGUGGUCACGCAGCUGGUAAGCAUUGGAAUUGGGCCAGGUGAGAGACACGGACGGAAGCACAGAGAAGUCCAAAGUCACUGGCUGACAGGUAGAAUGGUCAUGCCAUCAGCAGAAAUAAAAGAAAUUAUGGCGAGCAUCAAGUUCUGGGAAGUGCUUCCUUGUUUUGAGAAUGUUGAGUUUGGGGGAACUGUGCUACAUCUAAGUGGUGCUGUGACUUGCUGAGGCCAAGCCCAGCUCUCUGUCUCUUAUGGCCUGGUGCCUUUCUCUAGAGGGCUGAAAUUGUUUAAGUAAGCAUCUACUUCCAGGCUGUUGACAUGACGUUUUUCUUUUUUUUUUUCCAUAGGCAACUGGGGUUAAGUGACUUGCCCAGGAUCACGCAACUAGGUCUCCAAACUCUUCAUCUUCUUUCCUGAUCCUCCCUCUACACAGAGAAGAAGCAGGAAUUUCUUCAAAUAAGAAUCAGAACUUCAGCUCUCUACAGCUGUGGCAUAUGUGGUCCCUAGUCUGUUUAUUUGGGGACAGAGGAAGAAAGCU